rnacentral:rRNA from 1 species
GACGAGCCUCACAAACGUUAUUCGGAAUCACUGGGCUUAAAGGGUGCGUAGGCGGUGUGGAAAGUCGGAUGUGAAAUACCUCAGCUUAACUGAGGAACUGCACUCGAUACUUCCAUGCUAGAGUAAGACAGAGGUGAGUGGAACUGAGGGUGGAGCGGUGAAAUGCGUUGAUAACCUCAGGAACACCGGUGGCGAAGGCGACUCACUGGGCCUUACCUGACGCUCAGGCACGAAAGCUAGGGGAGCGAACGGG